UUAAAAAGCUCGUAGUCGGAUGUCGGGCUCGGGCAAGCUGUCGGCCUUUGGUCGGACGGCAGGCUCGGGUCUUUCUGCCUGAGGAACCCGGUUGCUUUAACGAGCUGCCGGUGGACGCAGGUCGUUUACUUUGAAAAAAUUAGAGUGUUCAAAGCAGGCUAGCGCUCGAAUACAUUAGCAUGGAAUAAUGGAAUAGGACUUUGGUGCUAUUUUGUUGGUUUAUGGGACCGAAGUAAUGAUUAACAGGGACAGUUGGGGCCGUUUAUAUUUCGUUGUCAGAGGUGAAAUUCUUGGAUUUACGAAAGAUAAACUUCUGCGAAAGCAUUCGGCAAGGAUGUUUUCAUUGAUCAAGAACGAAAGUUAGGGGAUCGAAGACGAUCAGAUACCGUCGUAGUCUUAACCAUAAACUAUGCCGACUAGGGAUCAGUGGAUGUCAAUUUGCGACUCCAUUGGC
rnacentral:rRNA from 1 species